rnacentral:rRNA from 1 species
GACGAACGCUGGCGGCGUGCUUAACACAUGCAAGUCGAACGGAAAGGCCCUGCUUUUGUGGGGUGCUCGAGUGGCGAACGGGUGAGUAACACGUGAGUAACCUGCCCUUGACUUUGGGAUAACUUCAGGAAACUGGGGCUAAUACCGGAUAGGAGCUCCUGCUGCAUGGUGGGGGUUGGAAAGUUUCGGCGGUUGGGGAUGGACUCGCGGCUUAUCAGCUUGUUGGUGGGGUAGUGGCUUACCAAGGCUUUGACGGGUAGCCGGCCUGAGAGGGUGACCGGCCACAUUGGGCCUGAGAUACGGCCCAGACUCCUACGGGAGGCAGCAGUGGGGAAUAUUGCACAGUGGGCGGAAGCCUGAUGCAGCAGCGCCGCGUGCGGGAUGACGGCCUUCGGGUUGUAAACCGCUUUCGCCUGUGACGAAGCGUGAGUGACGGUAAUGGGUAAAGAAGCACCGGCUAACUACGUG